GACCUCGGAUCGGGUAGGAAUACCCGCUGAACUUAAGCAUAUCAAAGGGG
rnacentral:rRNA from 1 species